rnacentral:rRNA from 1 species
UGCCAGCAGCCGCGGUAAUACGAAGGGGGCUAGCGUUGUUCGGAAUCACUGGGCGUAAAGCGCGCGUAGGCGGAAUAUUAAGUCAGGGGUGAAAUCCCGGGGCUUAACCCCGGAACUGCCCUCAAAACUGUCGAUCGAGAGACCGGGAGAGGUAAGCGGAAUUCCUAGUGUAGAGGUGAAAUUCGUAGAUAUUAGGAAGAACACCAGUGGCGAAGGCGGCUUACUGGACCGGUACUGACGCUGAGGUACGAAAGCGUGGGGAGCGAACAGGAUUAGAUA